ACUGCUCGUAAUGGAGCAGUAUCCAUAUCUGAAUUCAUAGGAUAUGAGAAGGCAGACCCGGGGAACUGAAACAUCUAAGUACCCGGAGGAAGAGAAAGCAAAUGCGAUUCCCUGAGUAGCGGCGAGCGAAACGGGAACAGCCCAAACCAAGAGGCUUGCCUCUUGGGGUUGUAGGACACUCUGUACGGAGUUACAAAAGAACGAGGUAGAUGAAGAGGCCUGGAAAGGCCCGCCAUAGGAGGUAACAGCCCUGUAGUCAAAACUUCGUUCUCUCCUGAGUGGAUCCUGAGUACGGCGGAACACGUGAAAUUCCGUCGGAAUCCGGGAGGACCAUCUCCCAAGGCUAAAUACUCCCUAGUGACCGAUAGUGAACCAGUACCGUGAGGGAAAGGUGAAAAGCACCCCGGAAGGGGAGUGAAAGAGAUCCUGAAACCGUGUGCCUACAAGUAGUCAGAGCCCGUUAACGGGUGAUGGCG
rnacentral:rRNA from 1 species